AGCCAGACUCCUACGGGAGGCAGCAGUGGGGGAUAUUGCACAAUGGGGGAAACCCUGAUGCAGCGACGCCGCGUGGGCGAAGAAGUAUUUCGGUAUGUAAAGCCCUAUCAGCAGGGAAGAAGAAAUGACGGUACCUGAGUAAGAAGCACCGGCUAAAUACGUGCCAGCAGCCGCGGUAAUACGUAUGGUGCAAGCGUUAUCCGGAUUUACUGGGUGUAAAGGGGGCGCAGACGGCAGCGCAAGCCAGGAGUGAAAGCCCGGGGCCCAACCCCGGGACUGCUCUUGGAACUGCGCGGCUGGAGUGCAGGAGGGGCAGGCGGAAUUCCUGGUGUAGCGGUGAAAUGCGUAGAUAUCAGGAGGAACACCGGUGGCGAAGGCGGCCUGCUGGACUGCGACUGACGUUGAGGCCCGAAAGCGUGGGGAGCAAACAGGAUUAGAUACCCUUGUA
rnacentral:rRNA from 1 species